rnacentral:rRNA from 1 species
AGUGAACGCUGGCGGUAGGCCUAACACAUGCAAGUCGAACGGCAGCACAGGAGAGCUUGCUCUCUGGGUGGCGAGUGGCGGACGGGUGAGGAAUACAUCGGAAUCUACUUUUUCGUGGGGGAUAACGUAUGGAAACUUACGCUAAUACCGCAUACGACCUACGGGCGAAAGCAGGGGAUCUUCGGACCUUGCGCGAUUGAAUGAGCCGAUGUCGGAUUAGCUAGUUGGCGGGGUAAGGGCCCACCAAGGCGACGAUCCGUAGCUGGUCUGAGAGGAUGAUCAGCCACACUGGAGCUGAGACACGGUCCAGACUCCUACGGGAGGCAGCAGUGGGGAAUAUUGGACAAUGGGCGCAAGCCUGAUCCAGCCAUACCGCGUGGGUGAAGAAGGCCUUCGGGUUGUAAAGCCCUUUUGUUGGGAAAGAAAUCCAGCUGGUUAAUACCCGGUUGGGAUGACGGUACCCAAAGAAUAAGCACCGGCUAACUUCGUGCCAGCCGCCGCGGUAA